GCAUAGCUCAGUUGGUAGUAGCGCAUGACUGUUAAUCAUGAUGUCGUAGGUUCGAGUCCUACUGC
rnacentral:tRNA from 35 species